CCUACGGGGGGCAGCAGUGAGGAAUAUUGGUCAAUGGGCGCAAGCCUGAACCAGCCAAGUCGCGUGAGGGAUGACGGUCCUAUGGAUUGUAAACCUCUUUUGUCGGGGAGCAAGGCCCGCCACGUGUGGCGGGAAGGAGAGUACCCGAAGAAAAAGCAUCGGCUAACUCCGUGCCAGCAGCCGCGGUAAUACGGAGGAUGCAAGCGUUAUCCGGAUUUAUUGGGUUUAAAGGGUGCGUAGGCGGAAGGUUAAGUCAGCGGUAAAAUGUCGGUGCUCAACACCGGCCUGCCGUUGAAACUGGUCUUCUUGAGUGAGCGAGAAGUAUGCGGAAUGCGUGGUGUAGCGGUGAAAUGCAUAGAUAUCACGCAGAACUCCGAUUGCGAAGGCAGCAUACCGGCGCUCAACUGACGCUGAGGCACGAAAGCGUGGGGAUCGAACAGGAUUAGAUACCCCGGUAGUC
rnacentral:rRNA from 1 species